rnacentral:lncRNA from 1 species
CCAUAUUGAACACACUCGUCUAACAGGGGUUAUGGUAGACAUUUCAGCGGCGGCCAUCUAUCCAGCUAGAUUAUGUUGCUUUAGUAUCCAUAGUAGAGUGUGAUUAUAGAUUAAGAGUUGUAUGAGACAGGGACAUUAUGUAUGAUACUGAGCACAGGAGUGAGAGAGUUGAUAUGGAGAGAUAGACCGGUAUCUAUAGUUCACCUCUGAGUGAUGUACCCUUGGAUCGAGG